rnacentral:rRNA from 1 species
UACGUAGGGUGCAAGCGUUGUCCGGAAUUAUUGGGCGUAAAGAGCUUGUAGGCGGUUUGUCGCGUCUGCUGUGAAAUUUCGGGGCUCAACCCCGAACUUGCAGUGGGUACGGGCAGACUAGAGUGCGGUAGGGGAGACUGGAAUUCCUGGUGUAGCGGUGAAAUGCGCAGAUAUCAGGAGGAACACCGAUGGCGAAGGCAGGUCUCUGGGCCACUACUGACGCUGAGAAGCGAAAGCAUGGGGAGCGAACAGG